ACGGGUGAGUAACGCGUGGGAAUCUACCGUACCCUACGGAAUAGCUCUGGGAAACUGGAAGUAAUACCGUAUACGCCCUAACGGGGAAAGAUUUAUCGGGGUAUGAUGAGCCCGCGUUGGAUUAGCUAGUUGGUGGGGUAAAGGCCUACCAAGGCGACGAUCCAUAGCUGGUCUGAGAGGAUGAUCAGCCACAUUGGGACUGAGACACGGCCCAAACUCCUACGGGAGGCAGCAGUGGGGAAUAUUGGACAAUGGGGGCAACCCUGAUCCAGCCAUGCCGCGUGAGUGAUGAAGGUCUUAGGAUUGUAAAGCUCUUUCAACGGUGAAGAUAAUGACGGUAACCGUAGAAGAAGCCCCAGCUAACUUCGUGCCAGCAGCCGCGGUAAUACGAAGGGGGCUAGCGUUGUUCGGAAUUACUGGGCGUAAAGCGCACGUAGGCGGGUAUUUAAGUCAGGGGUGAAAUCCCGCAGCUCAACUGCGGAACUGCCUUUGAUACUGGGUAUCUUGAGUAUGGAAGAGGUAAGUGGAAUUGCGAGU
rnacentral:rRNA from 1 species